GCCGCCGUAGUUCAAUGGAUAGAACGAGCGCCUCCUAAGCGCUAGAUACAGGUUCGAUUCCUGUCGGAGGCGCCA
rnacentral:tRNA from 3 species